CACGUAGGGCGCAAGCGUUGUCCGGAAUUAUUGGGCGUAAAGAGCUCGUAGGCGGACUGUCACGUCUGCUGUGAAAAGCUGGGGCCUAACCCUGGCCUUGCAGUGGAUACGGGCAGACUAGAGGUAGGUAGGGGAGAAUGGAAUUCCCGGUGUAGCGGUGAAAUGCGCAGAUAUCGGGAGGAACACCGGUGGCGAAGGCGGUUCUCUGGGACGGUACUGACGCUGAGGCGCGAAAGCGUGGGGAGCAAACAGG
rnacentral:rRNA from 1 species